rnacentral:rRNA from 1 species
UACGUAGGGUGCAAGCGUUAUCCGGAAUUAUUGGGCGUAAAGAGCUCGUAGGCGGUUUGUCGCGUCUGCUGUGAAAACCGGAGGCUCAACCUCCGGCCUGCAGGGGGUACGGGCAAACUAGAGUGCGGUAGGGGAGAUUGGAAUUCCUGGUGUAGCGGUGGAAUGCGUAGAGAUGUGGAGGAACACCGAUGGCGAAGGCAGCCUUCUGGGCCGAUACUGACGCUGAGGAGCGAAAGCGUGGGGAGCGAACAGG